rnacentral:tRNA from 1 species
ACCUUUGUGGUGUAAUGGUAGCACACUCGGCGCGUAUUCGAGAGAUCCAGGUUCGAGUCCCAGCAAGGUCA